GUGGGGAAUAUUGGACAAUGGGGGCAACCCUGAUCCAGCAAUGCCGCGUGUGUGAAGAAGGUCUUCGGAUCGUAAAGCACUUUCGACGGGGACGAUGAUGACGGUACCCGUAGAAGAAGCCCCGGCUAACUUCGUGCCAGCAGCCGCGGUAAUACGAAGGGGGCUAGCGUUGCUCGGAAUUACUGGGCGUAAAGGGCGCGUAGGCGGCUCUGUUCGUCAGGCGUGAACUUCCUGGGCUUAACCGGGGGACUGCGCUUGAUACUGCGGAGCUUGAGGCCGAGAGAGGGUGGUGGAAUUCCCAGUGUAGAGGUGAAAGUCGUAGAUAUUGGGAAGAACACCGGUGGCGAAGGCGACCACCUGGCUCGGUACUGACGCUGAGGCGCGACAGCGUGGGGAGCAAACAGGAUUAGAAACCCUAGUAGUCC
rnacentral:rRNA from 1 species